rnacentral:ncRNA from 1 species
GGUCAAGCUACAAAGGGCGCAUGGUGAAUGCCUUGGCAUCAGGAGCCGAUGAAGGACGUGAUAAGCUGCGAUAAGCUUCGGGUAGGCGCACAUAGCCAGUGAUCCGGAGAUUUCCGAAUGUGGGAACACACAUGGGAAACCCCAUGUACUGUACAGUGAAUACAUAGCUGUAUGGAGGUAAACCCUAGGGAACUGAAACAUCUAAGUACCUAGAGGAAGAGAAAGAAAAAUCGAUUUCCUUAGUAGCGGCGAGCGAAAGGGAAAGAGCCCAAACCAAGGAUUUAUCCUUGGGGUUGCGGACAGAACAUUAACGGAGAAGUCAUGAUUAACCGAACAUAACUGGAAAGUUAGACCGUAGGAGGUAAUAGUCCUGUAUGUGAAAGAUUAUGAUAAUCAAGUUCUGAUCCAGAGUACCACGAGACACGUGAAACCUUGUGGGAAGCAGGGAGGACCACCUCCCAAGGCUAAAUACUACCUGAUGACCGAUAGUGAAGCAGUACCGUGAGGGAAAGGUGAAAAGAACCCCGGGAGGGGAGUGAAAUAGAACCUGAAACCAUGUGCCUACAACCGGUCAGAGCCCCUUAUGAGGGUGAUGACGUGCUUUUUGUAGAACGAGCCAACGAGUUACGGUAUGUAGCAAGGUUAAGUAGUUAAGGUACGGAGCCGAAGGGAAACCGAGUCUAAAUAGGGCGACUAGUUGCAUGCCGUAGACCCGAAACCGGGUGACCUAUCCAUGGCCAGGUUGUAGCGAGGGUAAAACUUCGUGGAGGACCGAACCACGUUGCUGUUGAAAAAGCAUGGGAUGAGCUGUGGAUAGCGGAGAAAUUCCAAUCGAACUCGGAGAUAGCUGGUUCUCCCCGAAAUAGCUUUAGGGCUAGCGUCGGAUAUGUCUAGUGGAGGUAGAGCACUGAAUGGGCUAGGGGGCAUAGCGCUUACCGAACCUUAUCAAACUCCGAAUGCCAUAUAGAUUAAGUCCGGCAGUCAGACUACGAAUGAUAAGAUCCGUGGUCAAAAGGGAAACAGCCCAGAUCGUCAGCUAAGGUCCCAAAGUGUAAGUUAAGUGGAAAAGGAUGUGGGAUUUCUAAGACAACUAGGAUGUUAGCUUAGAAGCAGCCACUCAUUUAAAGAGUGCGUAAUAGCUCACUAGUCGAGAGAUCCUGCGCCGAAAAUGUACCGGGGCUAAACUUACCACCGAAGCUACGGGCUUGCGUAAGG